rnacentral:rRNA from 1 species
CUCUCGGGGUUACAGCCUUGCUGAAUUAUUCACCCUUGUCUUUUGCGUACUUCUUGUUUCCUUGGUGGGUUCGCCCACCACUAGGACAAACAUAAACCUUUUGUAAUUGCAAUCAGCGUCAGUAACAAAUUAAUAAUUACAACUUUCAACAACGGAUCUCUUGGUUCUGGCAUCGAUGAAGAACGCAGCGAAAUGCGAUAAGUAGUGUGAAUUGCAGAAUUCAGUGAAUCAUCGAAUCUUUGAACGCACAUUGCGCCCUUUGGUAUUCCAAAGGGCAUGCCUGUUCGAGCGUCAUUUGUACCCUCAAGCUUUGCUUGGUGUUGGGCGUCUUGUCUCUAGCUUUGCUGGAGACUCGCCUUAAAGUAAUUGGCAGCCGGCCUACUGGUUUCGGAGCGCAGCACAAGUCGCACUCUCUAUCAGCAAAGGUCUAGCAUCCAUUAAGCCUUUUUUCAACUUUUGACCUCGGAUCAGGUAGGGAUACCCGCUGAACUUAAGCAUAUC